rnacentral:sRNA from 1 species
AAAAAGGAAAGAAGAAGAGGAAGAAGAAGGAGAAG